rnacentral:rRNA from 1 species
UACGGGAGGCAGCAGUGGGGAAUUUUGGACAAUGGGCGAAAGCCUGAUCCAGCCAUGCCGCGUGCAGGAUGAAGGCCUUCGGGUUGUAAACUGCUUUUGUACGGAACGAAAAGACUCUGGUUAAUACCUGGGGUCCAUGACGGUACCGUAAGAAUAAGCACCGGCUAACUACGUGCCAGCAGCCGCGGUAAUACGUAGGGUGCAAGCGUUAAUCGGAAUUACUGGGCGUAAAGCGUGCGCAGGCGGUUAUAUAAGACAGAUGUGAAAUCCCCGGGCUCAACCUGGGAACUGCAUUUGUGACUGUAUAGCUAGAGUACGGCAGAGGGGGAUGGAAUUCCGCGUGUAGCAGUGAAAUGCGUAGAUAUGCGGAGGAACACCGAUGGCGAAGGCAAUCCCCUGGGCCUGUACUGACGCUCAUGCACGAAAGCGUGGGGAGCAAACAGGAUUAGAUACCCUGGUAGUCCACGCCCUAAACGAUGUCAACUGGUUGUUGGGUCUUCACUGACUCAGUAACGAAGCUAACGCGUGAAGUGACCGCCUGGGAGACGCCCC